UAGGGAAUCUUCGGCAAUGGACGGAAGUCUGACCGAGCAACGCCGCGUGAGUGAAGAAGGUUUUCGGAUCGUAAAGCUCUGUUGUUAGAGAAGAACGUUGGUAGGAGUGGAAAAUCUACCAAGUGACGGUAACUAACCAGAAAGGGACGGCUAACUACGUGCCAGCAGCCGCGGCAAUACGUAGGUCCCGAGCGUUGUCCGGAUUUAUUGGGCGUAAAGCGAGCGCAGGCGGUUCUUUAAGUCUGAAGUUAAAGGCAGUGGCUUAACCAUUGUACGCUUUGGAAACGGGAGGACUUGAGUGCAGAAGGGGAGGGUGGAAUUCCAUGUGUAGCGGUGAAAUGCGUAGGUAUAGGGAGGAACACCGGUGGCGAAAGCGGCUCUCUGGUCUGUAACUGACGCUGAGGCUCGAAAGCGUGGGGAGCAAACAGG
rnacentral:rRNA from 1 species